GGAUAAUCUGCCCUUAGGUGGAGGAUAAUCAUGGGAAACUGAGAAUAAUACUCCAUAGAUCUAUGAUGUUGGAAUACACAUAGAUUAAAAGUUCAGGCGCCUAAGGAUGAGUCUGCGGACUAUCAGGUUGUAGUCAGGGUAAGGACCUGACUAGCCUACAACGGAUACGGGUUGUGAGAGCAAUAACCCGGAGACGAUAUCUGAGACACGAUAUCGGGCCCUACGGGGCGCAGCAGGCGCGAAACCUUCACAAUGUGCGAAAGCGCGAUGAGGGGAUCCCAAGUGCUUGCACUUAAGUGUAAGCUGUUUCUUUGUUUAAAAUGCAGAGAGAGUAAGGGCUGGGUAAGACGGGUGCCAGCCGCCGCGGUAAUACCUGCAGCUCAAGUGGUGACCGCUAUUAUUGGGCCUAAAACGUCCGUAGCCGGCUGAGUAAAUGCUUGGGUAAAUCGUGCCGCUUAACGGUACGAAUUCCGAGUAGACUACUCAGCUUGAGACCGGGAGAAGCUAGAGGUACUCCUGGGGUAGAGGUGAAAUUCUGUAAUCCUGGGGGGACCACCAGUGGCGAAGGCGUCUAGCUAGAACGGGUCUGACGGUGAGGGACGAAACCCUGGGGCGCGAACCGGAUUAGAUACCCGGGUAGUCCAGGGCGCAAACGCUGCUUGCUUGAUGUUAGCUGGGCUCCGAGCUCAGCUAGUGUCGGAGAGAAGUUGUUAAGCAAGCUGCCUGGGAAGUACGAUCGCAAGAUUGAAACUUAAAGGAAUUGGCGGGGGAGCACAGCAACGGGUGGAGCGUGCGGUUUAAUUGGAUUCAACGCCGGAAAACUCACCGGAAGCGACGGUUACGUGAAGGCCAGGCUGAUGACCUUGCCUGAUUUUCCGAGAGGUGGUGCAUGGCCGCCGUCAGUUCGUACCGUAAGGCGUUCUGUUAAGUCAGAUAACGAACGAGACCCUCAUCCUUAAUUGCUACUGAUUACUUCGGUUGUCAGGCACAUUAGGGAGACCACUGGCGAUAAGUCAGAGGAAGGCGAGGGCAACGGUAGGUCAGUAUGCCCUGAAUCUUCCGGGCU
rnacentral:rRNA from 1 species